CUGCAACAACGGUUUCUAGCCUCUGGCAAGGAAAACAGAUGAGCAAAUAUCUGUCUUGGAAGCUAAAUGCAUCGUCCCAGCGCAGGCCUCUCCAGCUUUCCAGAUACCAUGAGUCCUCAGCCUGCUCUUAAAUUGCUACAACAACAUUAUGGAUCCUUCAUACUCAGAUUUUUGUGAGCAUCUACUCUGACAUCCUUCAUAACAUGUAACAGUAAAUAGUGAGCCUGCAACUUUGCACUUCACUAAACAUUCCUCAGUGCAACGUUGGUUGGAGGGUGAUGACUGCUCCAAGAAGUGGAUGUGUGGAAGCUGUUCAGAAGAUGGAUGCAUCAUGGACUUUUGUACCUGCCUUUAUGCAUGGAACAUCCCUAUCAUCUGCAACAAAGUGAAUUUGCAGUUUUCAUUGUGGUUGCUUUAGGAAAGGCCUCACCUACAUUCCAUCAGGUAGAAGCAUACUGGAAACCAAUCCUGUAUCUGAAUACAUAUAUAACAGUCUUAAGGGUAUUUCAGAAUGAACAAACAUAAGUUGGUCUGAAAGGAAUGCCUCC
ensembl:lncRNA